rnacentral:tRNA from 1 species
GAGAGAGGCCCGACGCAAUGAGGACUGCUAAUUUUCAUCCCUUUGGUUAAACUCCAAAGCUCACUCG